ACAAAAAAGUAGGCCUGUUACCCAACUGUUUCUCUCCUUCCUCUCACAUCGUGUAGGCUCCAAUCCUCCUUCCUUGCGAGUAGAGUUCCAUCGAGUCAGGUGUAGGUCGAUGAAGGCCCCCUAUGCCAGGAACUUCGGGCGACCGCGGCUUAGAUGACCGUGGCAAAUUUCAAGAAGCUGAAUGCUACAUGUUUGAGAUCCUAGUGACAGUCAAAGCGGUUGUUUGGGCCUUCACCACCACCUUCUUGCUUCCCAUGUCGCCGACGGUGCCUGUGCAACACAUGACACGACGGUGCAGCCACAUCUCCGUGGCCAAAGAGGAGCAGAUGCGAUGACAAGCGGAUGAUGGCGGCGGAUGGUGCUAUGGCUGGCCCAAAGUCGUCAACUACCACGACACGGAAGUCUCCGAGUGACGCGGGAGCGA
rnacentral:lncRNA from 7 species